GAUGGAUGGGGAUGCGUCUGAUUAGCUUGUUGGCGGGGUAACGGCCCACCAAGGCGACGAUCAGUAGGGGUUCUGAGAGGAAGGUCCCCCACAUUGGAACUGAGACACGGUCCAAACUCCUACGGGAGGCAGCAGUGAGGAAUAUUGGUCAAUGGGCGAGAGCCUGAACCAGCCAAGUAGCGUGCAGGAAGACGGCCCUAUGGGUUGUAAACUGCUUUUAUAGGGGAAUAAAGUGAGCCACGUGUGGUUUUUUGCAUGUACCUUAUGAAUAAGGACCGGCUAAUUCCGUGCCAGCAGCCGCGGUAAUACGGAAGGUCCGGGCGUUAUCCGGAUUUAUUGGGUUUAAAGGGAGCGUAGGCCGGAGAUUAAGCGUGUUGUGAAAUGUAGAUGCUCAACAUCUGAACUGCAGCGCGAACUGGUUUCCUUGAGUACGCAUAAAGUGGGCGGAAUUCGUGGUGUAGCGGUGAAAUGCUUAGAUAUCACGAAGAACUCCGAUUGCGAAGGCAGCUCACUGGGGCGCAACUGACGCUGAAGCUCGAAAGCGCGGGUAUCGAACAGGAUUAGAUACCCUGGUAGUCCGCGCGGUAAACGAUGGAUGCCCGCUGUUGGGCCAACUGGUUCAGCGGCCAAGCGAAAGCAUUAAGCAUCCCACCUGGGGAGUAC
rnacentral:rRNA from 1 species